rnacentral:rRNA from 1 species
UACGUAGGGUGCGAGCGUUAAUCGGAAUUACUGGGCGUAAAGCGUGCGCAGGCGGUUCUCCAAGUCCGUUGUGAAAGCCCCGGGCUCAACCUGGGAAUGGCAGUGGAAACUAGGGGACUGGAAUCUGGCAGAGGGGGGUGGAAUGCCGCGUGUAGCAGUGAAAUGCGUAGAGAUGCGGCGGAACACCGAUGGCGAAGGCAGCCCUCUGGGCUGAGAUUGACGCUCAGGCACGAAAGCGUGGGGAGCAAACAGG